CCCAGCCUGGCUGUCAGCUCCCAGAGAUGAGAGGGGAGCCGCCCCCUCACCGUGGGUCCGAGGGAGCAGGUGAGCCUGUGGGCAACGUGCGUGACUGUGGCGGGCGUGGGUGACAUGUGCGACUUCUCUGUCUUUUCACCUCCAAGAAGCUGUAUCAGUGUGGGCAUCAGGGAGUUGGGAAGGAGAGUGUCUGAAGAAGGUGGGGAGCAGCCCCCCAUUCCCAAAGAUUGACACCUGUGCCUGGUGCCCGAGGUUAUCCAGAAUGCUCUUCCUUCCGAGGCAUUCAAGCCAGACACCCCAUCUUCUCUCUCCUCACUCCCUCCCUCACCCCACUCUCUUCCCAGACAGAAGGCGGUGCCCCCUGCUUCCUCUGUGAAUGUCUCAAUCUCCCACUGGAUGGCCGGGCCUCUCUCCUCCUGGUCUGGAUGCCCUCUCCACGCUUGAGGCCGGGCUGAGCCGCAGACCUCUGGCAGCCAGACCCGGGGCCAGGUCUGGGGUCAGCCUUCCCACAUGCUUUCCCACCACCCACCUGCAGCCCACCGCCCAGGCACGGCCAGCCCACUGCACUCAGGCCUGAGCUGGGCGAGAGCCUGCGGGGAGGACCCAGGGGUGCUGGGAAGCCCAUCCACUCACUCCCCAGCAUCCUUCUGGAGGGAGUGGUUUCCCUGAAUUUGGCCUUUCCAAAGAACGAGGGGGCAGGGUGCCCCCGUCCCCACAGCGGCCCUGCCUUUGCGUCAGACACUGGUUGGGAAGACAGCGUAGCCCUCCCGGGUCUUGCAGGUUAGGUCUGUGCACGCACGCACACGCGCGCGCACACACACACACACACACACCCCACAGCACUGCAGUAUAUUCUUGCCAAAGAUUUCCUUUAAAAGAAAGCACUUUUAAUAAUUAUUGUUAUUAUUGUAUAAAUGUUUAUCCUUUCUUCCCUCCCUCUACCUUUUUUGCUGUUGUUUGUUGUUGAAUCUGUCUGUCAGCCAGGAGAGUGCUGACUGGUCUUGAAAACAGGCGGGCAGGGAGUGUCUGGGAAAAGUUGGCGGGAAAGGGCAAGAGGUAGGGCGGGCUUGCGAUGCAGCGAUGCAGGCCCCGGGUAAGCUCAGGUCCCUGCCCCAGGCCAGCCUGCCUCUAGCUGUCCAGCUGGGCCUCUGGAUGGCAUCCGGAGGGACGGAGCUGGGAAGUGACAUCUCUCUGAUCAGCAGGGAGGGGAGCCCAGUGAGGUCUGUGUGGCUUUUCCCAGGAGGAACGAGCGGGGAGGACUGGGCUUGGGAACAAUGGAGAGGAAGUGAGCUGUUUGGAGUUGACUGGAAUGCCUCUGCCGUGCGGUCCUGUGUUCUGGCUCUUUUAUCGAGCCAGCCGUACGUCCCAUCUGAGUUUGGGAAAGGCCUUAGGACCCUGGUCCUCACUGGAGCAGCCUCUCCUACAGCAGCUCCAAAGGCUCGCGGGCUGCUAGGGUUCCUCUGCCUGGGUGUUGAGGAAUCCUUGGUAUGUCAGAGGCUGGCAGGAUAGGGGUGGUGGGGCCUGGUGGCCGUGUGACCGUGACAGGGAGCAGCGGCUGGACAAGGGCGAUCCUUCUAUAAAGGGGCUUCUAGGAGGGAGCCUUCUUCUGCCCCACCUGGUGGCCCGAGCAGAGGCUGGACAGGCCCCUCAUGCCGUCUGGGGUGUGGAGGAGUCUGUAAGUGGAACAUCUGUGCCACGGACCUUUGUCCACCACUCCCACCUCCUUGGCCUCCUCCCCUUCUUCAGCUUUUCCCAGCUUCAGGACAUGCUUUAGGAGAUCAAGUGGGCCAAUGCCCCAUCUGGGGGCUCUUUCCCGUCCCUGCAUCUCCCCACACUCGGGGUCCUUGGACAGGUGGGAGGGCAGAUUCCUGGAGGCCCCGGAAUCCUGAGACUAGAGUCCCCUGGCCAGUGGUAACCCAGGAUGUGUGUGCGCGCGUGUGCAAGUGUGGGUGUAUGUGUGUGUGUAUCUGCUUGUCUCUUUAGGGAACUGAGGGGUUGGGUUGGAGGUGAUGGGCAACGCGAAGUCAAGUUCAGUAUCACCCAGCAGCAGAAGGAAUCAGGAGGCGAGGCCUGUAGGGCCCCCGAUUGGUG
ensembl:lncRNA